AGGAAAACACCACAAAGAAAACUCCCCUCGAUCUAUUUGCUAGGUCGAUCGUGAAGCUCGCCGCCGCCGCCAUCAUGGAACGCCUCGCCGCCGCCAUCGUGGAACGCCUCGCCGCCGCCAACGUGGAGCCCUUCACCGAAGCAGAGGUCCAGGAUGGCCGCCGCCGAGGUCCGAGAUCGCCAUCCCUAUCUGUUUCUUGUUCGCUGGCCUCUCUCACAUUCCCCAUCUCUCUCUCUCUCUCUCUCUCUCUCUCGCGCGCGCGCGCGCGCGCGCGCGCGCGCGCGUCAUUGCCACCGCUGCCCACUACCGGCUGCGUCUGCCGCUACCCCCAUGGCGCUACCGACUCCGAUGAGAUCUCCCCUUUCUAACAUAUGCGGCCGCCUCGCUGUUCCUGCCCCACGUGCGGCCCCGCGGCUAACCCUAGCAACCUCUAUCUCCAACGGUGGCGCCUCCCUCGUCCUCUCACAACCCCGUCCUCCUCCCUACGCGUGCUCCACACGUAUCUCCGACGAUGAUGGCGGCCAACAGGCUGUGGGCCUACCAGAGGGCACGGCAGGCGGCAACGCAAGGCAGCGGGGCGCAUGGUCGAUGCUCACGACAAUGGUAUGCGCGAGCAUGCCACAGGCAGCGGCCAGGUGUGUGAGGGCAGUAGCCAGUGAGGGCACGCUGAUGUUCGUCUGGGCCACACGUCACAGUACAGUACAAAUACUGGCCAUCUAUUGGGCGGAUCUGGUAGUGAUUUCACCGAUUUCAGGUAAGAAUGCUCUCUCCUCUUUGUAGUUAAUUAAACAGAUCCGUAAGCUGCUUGACUGCUACAACUGGUUGUAUCACCGUCCGGUUACUUCGGGUGAAUAAGGCAGAACGAAUUAUGCCAUGUAUGUUCCAUCUCAUUUUGUUCAAUGCUUGUGCUUUCCGUAAUUGGGAGUCUCCAAGUUUUGAUUGCAUUUAUUAGAAUGAUUGGUACUAUCAGGUUGAUGAACGGAAUGUGAAGCUUAUAUGAAACAGUGGGAUUUUCAGUUUGUAUGCUCGUCCAUUAACUCAAUUUUUGCAGGUUUCAUGAUAUAGUAAUUCUGCAAAUGUGUCGACUUUCUAUUUAGUUUUCCACUGCCAUUUAAUUGUUAAACUUUCUAGAUCAAAAUCUCAAGAAUACCCAAUAUGAUUCUUUUUUGUUAUUUCUUUCAGCGAGCCACACAGAGAUCUGACAAAGGUCCUAUAGAACUGACCACGAGAGCGGCGGCAAGUGCAGCAGUGCGUACUCAACGGUUGACCGACUACGUGCAAAUCAUGUCCCCAGUGUGAUUGAGAAUGGCGGUAAAUUAUUAGACACAAGCGGUUAAUUUCUACCAAUUAGAACUACACAGUGAAGCCUGGCAAAAUGGCCACAAGUAUUGGUUCAUAACACAUGCGUUUUAGCGGGAUGGAGGUAAUAUUGAGAGAGACAGACCCAUUAGGCUAAGGAAAAGAAAUAGUAUAUCUUUUGAGUCUACCAUCUUGUAUGCCAAGCAGCGUCGAGUAGAUGAUAUACUAGGCGCUUUUCUUCUAAAUUGUACAGAAAGUCCACUGAGUCAUUGUUGUUUGUAUGCCACCGUAGAGCAAAAUAGUACUUAUUUUAAUCAUUUUUAGGUGAAAUACAAGCAUGUAGCUACCUCACUUAAUUAUUGUACUCACUUGAAGUUUUAUGUUGAUACAAUGCAAUAUUUAAGUAGUAGAGAAACCUCACAAAUUUAAAUUGAUGAAUGAUAUUUAGGAAAAGAAGUAUGCAUGUUUCAUUAUAAAGGGAAAGUCUUUUUCAAGGCAUAGUGUUUAAUUCACGAAUGAUUAAACAGUUUAACGGGGACCAACACUGAGUAGCAGGGGAGUGGCAGUGCAUAGAGACAUAGUGAGGAGAGCGGGGGCGAUGAUGGAGGCGGAGAUGUUUAGAGAAAGAUAUAGAGAGCAGGAGGUUUAACAUGGUGCAAUCAAAAACCGAGAGCCACGCCUUGCUAAGACAAGCACAUUUUAAAACAUAACAAUACUCUGCAUUGUUUUGAUGUUGGUAUCAGAACCAGGUACCAUGUGAAGCUCAAGGAAUGGUUGUAGAUCAUUAUGGAGAAACUGAAGAAAAAAAAGAUCCUUAUGGAGUACAUUAUAAACGACAUUUGGUGUCGGCGGCAUGUCACUACCUCUGACAAAGUUCUCUGAAACACGAUUACUAUCAUGUACAAUGCUUUUACAACCGAUUAAAUUUAUUUGGUACAUAGAGCUAUUGGUCCUUUAUGAUUAUUUUAUUUCUUCAGUACAAAUGCUUUUAGCUCUUGAUAUUUUAUUACGGCUAUACACUUAUCCAUUGACACGCCACUUGUGGAAACUUUUUCCGUUGGAAUAAGAAGAACAACAAUGAUUUAGUUGUAAUAAAAUGCUGAAAAUGCAACCUGAUGUGCAUGAGUACCUUAAAGAUAUAUGCUAGACAACAGCAAUGAUUUAACUUGUUGUAAAAUGUUGUUUCUGCACUAAAUCUUCUUUACAAACUGUUUGCACAAGAGAGGUAGUCCUGCUGGAAUCAUGUAUGCCUCUCGUGAGUUUCACUAUUAAGUAUUCAAAGCAGCAAAGAUAACAGGAUGGAAUGUCAAGGUGAUCACCCGUAUUUCUGGAGAAAUAGUAAGUGGGCUAACUGAGGUGAAACUCAACAAUGUAUCUCUACUAUUAAAGGGCUAUAAAAAUACAGAACUUGUGAAGCAUCCCUUCAAGCUACCAUCUUUACUGGAAGCUUGGUUCCCUUGAUUUGCUUGUUUACAAAUAUUUAACCUGGUGUUUUAUUUGUAUGUUGUCAUCCUGUGGUCAUUAACAAUCAUGCAGAUGGAACUGCUCUUAUUUAGAACAACCUGGCUUAUCCUCGGUCGAGUGAGUCAUAACAGAAUUGAAAAGAAAUGCUGGCAGAGAUAUUAAAAUUCAAACCUGGCUUAUUUUUCUCAAUAUGGGUUCAGAAGGAAAUUGUCGUUGAGCUUCUAUCUAAAGAUUUCAGCAGCCUCGAUGGAUGAUGGCAGGAACCUCAUGGGCCACACAUCCCCUUCCUUAAUUGCACGCCCUCACAAAAUGGAUGGGGACUGGGUUCUUUGGUUGUCGCCGCCGGACUCAGCGAAGGACGAAAAAUCGAGAUGAUCCAGUGGAGAAUAGAUGCCACGGGCUGAAGAAAGGAGGCGACGGUUUCAGAGCACACACCUUGAAGCGGAGAGGCGGCAGGGGAGUGGGUCUGGAUGGCAGAGGGAGCGAGACGAGGCAACAUCAGAUGGGAGGCAUGGUCAAAAGAGGCGCCGUAGGAGCAAUCGUGCGUGUGUGGGGGCCAUACCAGGGAGAAGGAAAUGGGUGGUCGGUUUUCCAGGGCUUUUUUUCCUUGCAUCGGGAAAUGGGUUCGGUUGAAAAAACGAUGAGGUGGGGAGGUCACGCGAAGGGUGGAGACGUGGGUACCAUAUAACGUACCAACUGUGCUUUAAUAGUAGAGAUUAAGAUGUUGAUAUUUUAUUCAUUUUCUACUUAGCUGAAGAUUCUUUGAAGAAAAAAAACUAUGAAACUUGUAAUGUAUCAUGGUCGCAAUUUGUGAAGUAGAACUAACUAUCGUUUGACCAAAUACCCUUUGAUCAUUCAUCAAUUUUUAUGUACUUGUCUCCCAUGACAACAAAUAUGGAAUACAUGUCUGUGUUCUUGAAA